CUAUGUUAAAAUCAUACACACUUGUAAAGACUGUUGUACGGUCACAUUGGAUUUGAAAGCAACAUCCUUUCUUCCAUACAUCCACGCUACCUGAAAGACGACAGCUUCCUGAAUCCAACGAUACCAGAUAUGUGCACAUCGGACCUCCGCUUCAAAAGAUACGGCCAGACUGUUGUACGGUCACAUUGGAUUUGAAAGCAACAUCCUUUCUUCCAUACAUCCACGCUGCCUGAAAGACGACAGCUUCCUGAAUCCAACGAUACCAGUUAUGUGCACAUCGGACCUCCGCUUCAAAAGAUACGGCCAGACUGUUGUACGGUCACAUUGGAUUUGAAAGCAACAUCCUUUCUUCCAUACAUCCACGCUACCUGAAAGACGACAGCUUCCUGAAUCCAAUGAUACCAGAUAUGUGCACAUCGGACCUCCGCUUCAAAAGAUACGGC
ensembl:lncRNA